rnacentral:rRNA from 1 species
AUACGUAGGGGGCUAGCGUCAUCCGGAAUUACUGGGCGUAAAGGGUGCGUAGGUGGUUUCUUAAGUCAGAAGUGAAAGGCUACGGCUCAACCGUAGUAAGCUUUUGAAACUAAGAGACUUGAGUGCAGGAGAGGAGAGUAGAAUUCCUAGUGUAGCGGUGAAAUGCGUAGAUAUUAGGAGGAAUACCAGUUGCGAAGGCGGCUCUCUGGAUUGUAACUGACACUGAGGCAAGAAAGCGGGGGGAGCAAACAGGAUUAGAUACCCUGGUAUGCCACGCCGUAAACGAUGAGUACUAGCUGUCGGGGGUUGCCCCCCUCGGUGGCGCAGCUAACGCAUUAAGUACUCCGCCUGGGGAGUACGCUUGCAAGAGUUAAACUCAAAUGAAUUGGCGGGG